rnacentral:rRNA from 1 species
UACGUAGGGUGCGAGCGUUAAUCGGAAUUACUGGGCGUAAAGCGUGCGUAGGCGGUUCGUUAAGUUCGUUGUGAAAGCCCCGGGCUCAACCUGGGAAUGGCAAUGGAAACUGGCGGGCUGGAGUAUGGCAGAGGGGGGUGGAAGUCCGCGUGUAGCAGUGAAAUGCGUAGAGAUGCGGAGGAACACCGAUGGCGAAGGCAGCCCCCUGGGCCAAUACUGACGCUCGAGGCACGAAAGCGUGGGGAGCAAACAGG